ACCUGGCUAUUUCUUUUCCUUUGCAGCUGGGCUCUUGCUACGUUUUCCUGGCUGUGCCGCUGGCUCUCAAACAAAGGCUGCUGACCUCGCUCCCUCUGCUGGUGACUGCAGGCCUACAGCUGCCUGGGACAAGUUACUCAUGACUCCACCAGCGAGAGCCCCUCCCGGCUACAGAAAGAGUGUAUUGCCAUCUUGUGUUUUGUUUUAAACUUUUGCAACUCUUUCCCCUACUGAAGAGGACAGGAGGAGAAGGCUGGCUUCAGAGCCCAGGCUGGCCUUGAACUCACAGCAGUCCUCCUGCCUCAGCCUCCUGAGUGAGGAAGUACAGGUGCUCUGGAUUCUGUGCAGGGAGUUGCUAGCUUCACUUUUACCGUUAGCACCACUAGGAAGGAGUCUGUCUCUACAGGAGCUCGGGACCCAAAUCCGGCUUCAAGCCCAGCUUUGUAUGAGCAGCAGAUGGUCCUCCAGGCUGCAGCCCCAGCAGCUGGGGAAGGGGGAACACUGAGGGCAUGUGAUGCCCAUCUCGUGUCCCAGCUCCCCGUGAGAAAGGUGAUCAUCGUCUACUGAAAGAGUGGCCACAUCAAAUCAAAAUUUAAAAACAAAUAAAACAAAAUUAGAUAAAAAGAUGUACAGCCUGAUUUAUUUAGUUUUUUCUGCUGGGCGUGGUAGUGCACACCUGUAAUCCCAGCAUUCAGGAGGCUGAGGCGGGAGGAUCGCUGUGAGUUUGAGGCCAACCUGAGCUGCAUAACAAAACCCAGUCUCCAAAAAACUUUUUUUGUUCUUUGCGGUGUUUAGGUGCUGUAUUCCUCCAGCUGAGCAAUGAAAGAAGAAGAAACCCAGCACUGUCAUCCACGCUGUGAGUGACCCUUCAUCUGCCAGAAAAACAGACGGGAAGGUUAAUGAUUGUCAGCCGGGAAAAUGGCUGAGUUAUCACUGGCACAGUGAGAAAGUUCAGCUCGAGGACCUUGACCUGUGCAUCUGUUGACCAGGUGGCAGGAGCCUGGUGUCAGGCAGGGGGACAUCGUGUCCACAGGAAAGGCCCUGAAGGCCCAUCGUGUCCACAGGAAAGGCCCUGAAGGCCGUGGCCACACGCUGGAUCAGGUGUCCCUUCCUCCACCAAAAGCCAGCAGAGCUCCAGGCCUCCAUGGGAACCCAACCCCUUCCCUAGUUCCCGGGAAGCAGAAAGUGUCCUUGGGCCAGAAAGUCUGGUUUCCACAUCACUGGUUCCUGCCGGGCAGGCAGGUGGUGGAUUCUUCUCCCUCCUAGCGCCUGAGCUCUCAGCCAACAGGCAGCCCCUUCCCACUGCCGGCGACACUCGGCCCACAGUAGCAGAGGUGAGCAAGGCAGCAUGCAAAACUGGGGUCUGCUGGGCGUGGUGGCACAAGCCUGUAAUCCCAGCUCCCAAGAGGCUGAGUCAGGAGGAUCCUUUGAGCCCAGGGGUUCAAGGUCAGUUUGGACAACAUAGUGAGCCCCAGUUUCUUAAGGAGAAAAAGAAAAAUGUCCCAAAAGAAAUACAUUUACUUUUAAUCCAUAAUAAACUGAGGGGAAAAAAAAGAAAUACAUUUACAUGAUUUUUUUUAAACAGGCUUCAAAAGAGUCCUCAGUGGAGGCCUUCUCCCCCUCCCACCCAGGGCUCCGCCACAGGCUGAGGAACCAGGGGCUGGCAGAAGUUGCUCCCAGGCAGAGUCCCUCUGCCUCUGCUCCUGGCUCCCCAGCUCUGUCCUUUGGGACCUUCGACCUCUGGAAUGCCUGGAUGUCCUCCAGGCCCUCCAGCCAAGAGCAACGGUCAGGGGAGCUGCAGGAGAGGGGGUUGGGCUACAGCCGCCCCGCACCCCCUCCCCCCCGUGGGAGGGAAACCAGGCUAGAGUGAGGAGAAAGCGCAAUGCAGUGUGUAUGUGCACGUGUGUGUGACUAUUGUGCGAUGUGGAAAGCCCGCAGGGCUCUGCUAGGAAGUCAACAGCAAGCUCAUUUCCCGCCUGAUCUUGCCUGAGUGGGCACAGGGCCAGCAGGGGCUCCUAUGUUUUCCACAUCAGAGCGUGUGCAGCCCGUCCUGUCCCGCCCAGCCAGGGCCUCCACCACCUGGGUCACCUCUGUCACCUCAGCUCCCACGACUGCAGCUGCCUCUACUGCGGGGACACCACCCUGGGCUCAUCACCCUGGGUGCUCUGCUGGGCCUUCGCUCGGCCUCUUGUUCCCCAGGCACCCAGUCAUGUCUGCCGGCCUCAUUGCCCAUAUCAUAGGAGUUGCCGCUCCUGCCCUUUUCCGUCCUCCUUAGACAAGGGACCUCAGACCAUGGGCAGCCACCCUUGGGUCACCACCAUGAGCUACAUCCCCAAGGCUUCUUAUUCUUUUAAAUUUUGAAACCGCAACUGGCUGAGUGAAAAUACCCCAGCUGAGCUCAAACUCCCGGUCCUCCUGCCUCAGCCUCCCAGGGUGUUGGGAUUUCAGGCCCCUGCGCCGCCGCACCCAGCCAGCGAUGCGGUCCUUGUCCCUGGAAGUACAUGCAGCGCCUCCCAGCCACCUGCACAUGAGUUUGGGCCCCAUCCACCCAGGCAGCCUCAGCUACCCUUCCUGUCUGUGCCUUCCUGUCUGUGGGGUCCCUCUGUGACCCCACACCCCACAUCCUGGAUGAGCUCGAAUUUCCAAAGCCUCAGUUUCCCUAACUCAGCAUCUCUCCACCUGGCAUCCCGUGGUCCCCGUGCCCAAACAUCCAGGUUCCAACCUGUCUCAAGGCCCAGCUACGGAAGCCCCACCCACCUGCCCAGCCCAUGAUUGGAGCCCCCUCCCUUCCCCUGCUCCUGCCUGAGGGAACACUAAUGUCACACAGUCUCUAAGCAACUGCUAAGCAAAACACUGGCAGCAUCACAAUUACCCCAGUUCCCAGACCCCAGGGGGACCCCGCACCCAAAGGUCGCUCUGCCUUCGCUCCUACAAUAAACCGCGCCGACCUCAUACGGUCUGCGCAUCCCUCUGAACUCAUUCCUACCUGGACCCGACUGUUGCCCUGCCCACGUCCACCCCUUAGAACCGCUGACCUGGUCCCCUCCUCCUGCAGCCUUCUCAGUAUCACAGUCCAGGAAGGAAAUGCCGGGGCCUCUGUGUCAGUGACACCCUUUGGCCUUAUGUCCCAGCCCGAUCUGGACAGCACGGGACUGUUUGUUUGACUUGAAUUUUUGGACUUCCUUCUAUCUUUCCUUUUGAGAUAAUCCAAGGAGAAGAUGAAUGUGAGGUGGAUUUUAUUAUUUCUGUUUAGACAAGGUUGAGCUAUGUUGCCCAGGCUGGCCCCAACCAAACUCCUGGGCUCAAGGGCCCCUCCUGCCAUAGCACCCCACACAGCUGGGGUUUUAGGCAGGUGCUGUUGUGCUCACUUCUGACAUGGCUUUCAAAAAGGCAAGAAAUAAUUGGAAUGUAACAAUUAUUGUUUAUUAAAUGGCAACAAAGACAUGUUUAAGGCCCACAAAGGGCAGCAUGCCAUACUGGACACAGGGCCACCUGGACAAGGGGCCUGCCACUCUAGGGAGCUCCGGGUCAGCCCCGCCCUGGGUUCCAGGCAGACCAAUACAACUCUUCGUCCCCAUGAGGGGGUUUUGGGCAUUGAUGAGGCGUCAGUGGGUGUGGGAGGCACACGGCCACAUGGUCCAGCGGUCUGGCCAGGAGCCUCGGAUGGUGGGGUCUGUGGUUCCCGCAUGCACACCACAGAGCACUGGAGCUCCGAAGUCUGAGGGCCAAGGGAAGACAACAGGAAGAGAGGAGGACAGGGACAUUUGUACUCCGGCAGGAGCCUGUUAUGGAUUAAAAACUGGUGGUCAGUUUAACACCAGCUGGAUUAAAUCAGCAAGGUGCUGAGUGUAGAUGGCCCAGCUGAGGAAAGUUGGCAGCAUAAGGGGAGACAUGGAGAAGGAGAGGAAGACAUUGUGGGUUUUCCUAAGUGUUGCUGUUUGAGCCAUUGGUUCUCCUGGAGGAGCUCGUCAUGCUGGCUUCCCCAGUGUGAGUUUGACCAUUGUGAUCGAAGGAGCUGGGGACCUUGAUGGUGAGAGUGGCUGUGGUUCACUGUGGGGGAGCACUGGGCCUUACCCUGAGCAUCGAUUCCUGGCUCCAGAGGAGAAGACGUGUGCCAUUUACUCUCCAGAAGAAGCCUGUCACACUGGCUUCCUUGCACGUACUUGACUGUUCUUAUCAUCAGAGGGGCUCAGAAGCUCCGUGUUGCUAAGGAUGGCUGUAGUGCUUUUCAGGGCAGCCCUGGUCCUUAUUUUGAGGAUCACUUCUUGGCGCCAGGAUAGAAUUCUCAACGCGCUGGCACAGCUCCUUCACCCUGCUGGCAUAGACUUUCUAGCUUCCAUUGCUGAUCUUUGGGCCUUCCCAGUGCAGAUCUGUAAAAGAGACUGGGGUGAAUCCUUGUCGUGGGCUCUAGACCUCCAGUUGGACUCGAGGGAAGCAUUGUCGUGGGUUCAGGCCUUCAUCUGGACUCAUGCAGGACACGGUUGUAGGAUCCAGUCCUUGGCUGAAUGUUCUGGGUCUUUGGUGUUGUGGAUAGAUUUCCUGCACUUUCUUGUGUUUAACUCUGGGUGACCAUCAUAAAGUCACAUCAUAAAUUCUGUGUCUUGAUUCUGAAUGUUCUCUGCACAACCCGACCACAACAGAGUGUCAACACCCAGCGGUUACCAGCAGGACAUAGCUGGGUUCUUCUGCAUCCGGAGCUGAGUGACCGGUGUGUCUCCUUCCCAGAAGGGGGUCUCCCUGACCUCAUAGCACCCUGAGCUCAGAAGAGGCCUUGGAAAGCAGCCCCUCUCCUCCGCAGGACCCUUCAAGCGCACUGCAACCACGCAAGGACUGAAACUUCUGAAACCUGCGCUGCAAUGAAACCUCUCCACCCAAUGACAAGGACAGUGACGGAGACUGGAGGGAUGCUGGGGGAGCGACUGGCUUGUUGAGCAGCAGUCAGAAGCAGCAGUUGGUCCCACAGCGGGCUCCGCGGGGCCAGUCCUCCUGUCCCCUACCUCGGGUGCCUGCAGGGCUGGGCAGGCCAGGCCUCAGGCAGGUCUCCUGCUCCUGGGAUGCAUACCUUCGUGGUUCCUCCCGAGCAGGCUCUGCAGUGUUCUUCUCUGAGACUUCAGGGCUCCAGAGUCUGCUUGCCCCGGAACCCCUGUGCUUGUGACCGAGGAGAACAAGAGGGUGCAGCAGCUACUUCUGUCUGCCAGAACACCAGAAGAACCCUGUUGGACCUCACUGUCUUCAAAUAUGGGACAGGGAGCUAGGUGUGGUGGCACACGUCUGUCAUCCCAGCAACUUGGGAGGCUGAGGCAGGAGGAUCACUGCAAGUUCGAGACCAGCCUGGGCUACAAAAUGAGCUCACAGGCAGCCUGAACUGCAUAGCAAGAUCUUGUCUCAAAAUGACAAAAGCAAAAACACCCAAUAUGGCAUAGGGAAGGACUCCUGGUGCCAGAAAAAAAAAAAAAAACCCAGACACCUCAAAAGCUUUGGAGUGAUUCUGAUGUGCAAUCACUUGGUACUGAGGAGGGGCCCUGGUGGGUGGGGGCUCAUGUUGGGCUCGGGGAGGGACCUGGGUGAUGGCAGCGCAGAGCCUGGGCAUGUGGAUAUCUGCCACAUGAUGCCAUCAUCUAAAGCCGUCCACCAAUGCCAGCAUCCUGUGGACACAUGUCUGGUCCUCUGUCUCCUAUUUUGUUCUAUUGUUGUUGGUUUUUUGAGAUAGGGUCUCGUCAUGUAGUCCAGGCUGGGACUCAAGGGAAUCCUCCUGCCUCAGCCUUUCCAGUGCUGGGAUGACAGGUACAUUAUACCACACCCAGCCUUCCAUCUCUUACCUGGUACUGAGAAUGGAACCCAGGGCCUCCACACCACCUCUGUACCCAGUGACAGCUGGCACUCACACACACUGCUCUGCCUGGCCCCCUCACUGGGGCUGGUUCUCUUCUCCCAGCACACUCUGGGACUGUACUCAAC